CAAUCUGUAGAUCCCAAAGAAAAGCAGAAUGCUUUUGACGUUGGACAGAAAUACAUAGAAGUGGCUGCAUCACUUGAGGGUUUGGCUCCAAAUGUGCCACUCUACAAGGUUACUGAGGGAAAUGAACCAUCAUUCUUCACAACAUAUUUUUCAUGGGAUCCCACGAAGGCCAUGGUUUCAGGAAACUCAUUCCAAAAGAAGGCAGCAUUACUAUUUGGUGUAGGACAUCAUGCUGUGGAGGAUAAGUCCAACGGAAAUCAAGGAGGACCAACUCAAAGGGCUUCUGCUUUAGCUGCCUUAUCUACUGCAUUUAAACCUUCUGGGAAAUCAUCCCCUCCAGGCCAGUAUAGGUCCAAUGGGUCAAAUCAAGGAGCAACACAAAGAGCUUCAGCUUUGGCGGCCUUGAACUCUGCAUUUAAUUCAUCCUCUGGACCCAAAGUUACAGCUUCAAGGACAUCUGGACCUAGUCAGGGAUCACAAAGAGCUGCUGCUGUAGCUGCUCUAUCAUCAGUUCUUGCUGC
rnacentral:misc_RNA from 1 species